UGAGUGCCCAAGAGGAGGGUGUGCCAAAAAGAUCUCGCUGGCAGCGGAGCAGCUGGCCUCUGCUGCUAAUUCAGAUUGGCUGGCCCAGGAGGAUCCUAAUUACAGCACAACUGCUGUCUCCAUAAUCACUGCGGCAGGAGCCGUGCGGGCCAGAAGGCACUGAAAGGGACCUGGAUGCGGCAGCAGGAGGUACGGGGGCUGCUGCUUUCCGUCCUAGCCACUGAGUAGCACAGAGUCUACCAGAUGUCAGGGAGGAAGAAAUGGGUCAUCCUCAGAGCAGGCUUGUGCAAAUAAUGUCAUUGGCUGCCUGUGUGAGCGAUGGGAUUGCACAGAUAGGCUCAAGGAUAUCCUACUGACGGGGUUUGUGGGGAAAGCACUAGAAAUGUGGUGAGCCUACUCAGGUGUCAGGGGCUGAUUUGCUGAGCAGCAGCUAAUUGUGUGGCUGAUGGGAGCAACAAAAGCUGUCCAGGCAACUCCUGGUAAAGUGCUGUGGCUGUGUCAGACGUUUCCUGUGUGCCAGUAAGGAUGGCCACUUGCCCACCUGCACCUGCUGCUGACACGAAAUCAAAAGAAUGGAGAUGGAGUGAUUUCUCAUGUAGUGUUACAGUAAUGACCAACGUGACACAGAAGGAAAAUUCUGUGACAAUAUGGAAAGCUCUUCAAGGAACAAGACAUGGAAAAACAGCGGGCUCGGAAGUGCAAUGUUUUUAAACAUCCAGUGCUGCCAGUCAUAAGGCAGAUAAUUAUUGCCAUGGCACUCCCACGCCGAAUGGAUGUGUGUGGACCUGCCCGUGUCAGUGCUGUUGGAGGGGCAGUGGUUCUGGGGAGGACUGGCCAAGGCCACCCCUACUUCUAGAUGGAAGAUACUCUGGGAGAUGGCACAGCUUCAACUAACUUCACGGUUGAAGGAAUAUCGAUUGUUCCUGAAAUGUGUCUGCUAGCAAAAUGCAUCCUCCCAACAUCAAGCACAGAGUUGGCUGGUACCUGUGCCUGCUCACAGUUGCAUGCAGCGAAGUCAAGAGGGAAAUUUGAGGCCAACAUUUUUGCUGGAUUACUGAGGUCAUGUAAAAAAAAAUAUUCUUCAUUUGGCUUGUGUGCAACAGCCUACAAUGGCAGCCGAAAAUCUUCAUGCUGAUGAAAAAGGAGAUGGAACUGAGCUUUGGAGGAUGACACCAGGACCUGGGUGCCUCUUGUGGAUCUUUGCAGCCUGAGAUGCCC
rnacentral:lncRNA from 1 species